rnacentral:rRNA from 1 species
CAGCAGCCGCGGUAAUACGUAGGGCGCAAGCGUUGUCCGGAAUUAUUGGGCGUAAAGAGCUCGUAGGCGGUCUGUCGCGUCUGGUGUGAAAUCCCGAGGCUCAACCUCGGGCUUGCAUCGGGUACGGGCAGACUAGAGUGCGGUAGGGGAGACUGGAAUUCCUGGUGUAGCGGUGGAAUGCGCAGAUAUCAGGAGGAACACCGAUGGCGAAGGCAGGUCUCUGGGCCGCAACUGACGCUGAGGAGCGAAAGCAUGGGGAGCGAACAGGAUUAGAUACCCCCGUAGUCCCUGUCUCUUAUAC